GGAAGGUGAGAGUGAGAGAGAGGAAGGUGAGAGUGAGAGAGGAAAGUGAGAGUGAGAGAGAGGAAGGUGAGAGAGUGAGAGAGGAAGGUGAGAGUGAGAGGAAGGUGAGUCCAGAUCCGGUUCUGACCAACAACACGAACACGCUGUGAUGAAGCGAGCUGAGCUUAGCUGCAGACUGACACACAGCUCACACCUGUUUUUACAGGUUCUGGUGGUUCAGUUCGGCCUGCAGGAGUCCAGAACAGGAGAUCCUGAUGACAUCACAGGUGAA